rnacentral:lncRNA from 1 species
CGGGAAGGAGCGUCUCUGCCUCCUUCAGUCCAGGACAGCCUUUCUCCCUUCCCGGUUCCCGGGGAGCCACGCCCCUCAAGGGCGGCGGCCUCUGCAUUUCACUGCCGGUUGCAGGCGGACUCUCCGCACCCCGGGCUUUGGUUACAGCUUCUUUGGCUUCAGGCUGGAGACACGAAGCUCCC